GAUCCUGGCUCAGAAUCAACGCUGGCGGCGUGCCUCAGACAUGCAAGUCGAACGAUUAAAGCUUCCUUCGGGAAGUGCAUAAAGUGGCGCACGGGUGAGUAACACGUAAGUAAUCUACCCUCGAGUGGGGAAUAACGUUCGGAAACGGACGCUAAUACCGCAUAAUGCAGCGGCACCGCAAGGUGACAGUUGUUAAAGAUUUAUUGCUUGAGGAGGAGCUUGCGGCAGAUUAGCUAGUUGGUAAGGUAAUGGCUUACCAAGGCUACGAUCUGUAUCCGGUCUAAGAGGACGGUCGGACACACUGACACUGAAUAACGGGUCAGACUCCUACGGGAGGCAGCAG
rnacentral:rRNA from 1 species